AACGAACGCUGGCGGCAGGCUUAACACAUGCAAGUCGAACGCCCCGCAAGGGGAGUGGCAGACGGGUGAGUAACGCGUGGGAAUCUACCCAGAUCUUCGGAACAACACAGGGAAACUUGUGCUAAUACCGGAUACGCCCUACGGGGGAAAGAUUUAUCGGAUUUGGAUGAGCCCGCGUUGGAUUAGCUAGUUGGUGAGGUAAUGGCUCACCAAGGCUACGAUCCAUAGCUGGUCUGAGAGGAUGAUCAGCCACACUGGGACUGAGACACGGCCCAUACUCCUACGGGAGGCAGCAGUGGGGAAUAUUGGACAAUGGGCGAAAGCCUGAUCCAGCCAUGCCGCGUGAGUGAUGAAGGCCUUAGGGUUGUAAAGCUCUUUUAGUGGGGAAGAUAAUGACGGUACCCACAGAAAAAGCCCCGGCUAACUUCGUGCCAGCCGCCGCGGUAA
rnacentral:rRNA from 1 species